UUUUUAAAGUUUUAUUAGAAAAUGCCAUUGAAGAAAAAAAAAUUAUAGAUGUUGAUUUUGAUACAUCGAUACUAUUUUGUGAAUUUAUUUUCAGUAAACUAAUAUAUUAUGCAAAUUAUGAAAAUGAUAAUUUCAAUUACUUUUUUAGUUUUAAUUGUUUAAAGAGACAUCUAUGUUCAAUCGUAAGCUCGUUUUUAAAUUUUAACAAUUCAUCUCAUAGAAGAAAAAUUGAAGCAUCCUUUACAAACGAGUUGUAAUCAUAUUUUUAUAAGUUCAUAAUAUAAAAAAAAGCACAAGAAAAAAAAAUAAAAAACUAAUUGUUGUCAAUGCGUUUAAAUAGUAUAAAAGAAAAAGAUAAUAUAUAUAUUAUAUAUAUAUAUAUAUAUAUAUAUAUAUAUAAAUAUACAUGUUUUUGAUUGUGUAUUUUUAGAUGAGUUAAGCAGUUCUAUCAGUUGUUAUGUAUACAUAAAACAUGCAUGUGUUAUUAUAACUUCUUUCAUUACGUCCACAUUUUAUUUUAUUUUUAUUUUUCCGCACGCUUUUUACAUUUACGUUAGAACAAAUUUAAUGAAUCAGAUAUAUGAAAAAAUAAAAGUUGAAAAUGAUUUAGAACUAAAAGUAUCAUAUACAGAAUUUUUAUGGAGGUCUUUUAGAAGAAUAGACAUAAAUACAUUUAAUUCAAAAAAUUUUGAUGUUGAUAUGAAAACAAUAAAAAGGUUGAAAAAAUUUAAAAUUUUUAAGUUUGACGAAGAAUGUAUAAACUGGCUAAAGGAGGAAAAUUACAUAGACAAAAAACGAUUCAUUGAAAAUGGAUCAUUUAUAAUAGACGCAAACCAAAACAUAGUGAACAGAGAAUUCCUUAUAUGCUAUUUUGGAAAAUGUUCUGUAUUUAUAUACUAUGUAAAGAAAACCUAAUAAUAAAAAAAAAAUUAAAACCA
rnacentral:lncRNA from 1 species